rnacentral:rRNA from 1 species
GUAGUCAUAUGCUUGUCUCAAAGAUUAAGCCAUGCAUGUCUAAGUAUAAAUAAUUUAUAUUGUGAAACUGCGAAUGGCUCAUUAAAUCAGAUAUGAUCUACGUGACAUGUUUCUUUACUACUUGGAUAACCGUGGUAAUUCUAGAGCUAAUACAUGCAAAAAAGCCCUGACUUCGGAAGGGGUGCACUUAUUAGAUAAAGCCAACGCUGGGUAAAACCAGUUUCCCUUGGUGAUUCAUAAUAAUUUAGCGGAUCGCAUGGCCUUGUGCUGGCGACGGUCCACUCGAUUUUCUGCCCUAUCAUGGUUGAGAUAGUAAGAUAGAGGCUUACAAUGCCUACAACGGGUAACGGGGAAUA